rnacentral:rRNA from 1 species
GGCAGGCUUACACAUGCAAGUCGAGGGGCAGCGCGGGCAGCAAUACCUGGCGGCGACCGGCGGAAGGGUGCGUAACGCGUGAGCAACAUGCCCGUAUCAGGGGGAUAAUCGAUGGAAACGUCGUCUAAUACCCCAUAACAACAGUUUCGGCAUCGAAGCUGUUUGAAAGCUCCGGCGGAUACGGAUUGGCUCGCGAGACAUUAGCUAGUUGGCGGGGUAACGGCCCACCAAGGCGACGAUGUCUAGGGGUUCUGAGAGGAAGGUCCCCCACAUUGGAACUGAGACACGGUCCAAACUCCUACGGGAGGCAGCAGUGAGGAAUAUUGGUCAAUGGCCGGAAGGCUGAACCAGCCAUGCCGCGUGCAGGAAUAAGGCCCUAUGGGUCGUAAACUGCUUUUGUGGUGGAGCAAUAAGGCGUACGCGUACGCCGAUGAGAGUACAUCACGAAUAAGCAUCGGCUAACUCCGUGCCAGCAGCCGCGGUAAUACGGAGGAUGCAAGCGUUAUCCGGAUUUAUUGGGUUUAAAGGGUGCGUAGGCUGUUUGUCAAGUCAGUGGUGAAAUCCCUGANCCUAACU